CCUUCAUAUGCUUCCAGAAUUUCAACUGCCUUUGAAGCAUUUGAGUUUAAAUGGUGAGCAACAGUAAAACCAAUCCAAUUCAUGCGAUGAUUUGGUUUCAAGGUUAGAAGCUGCUGUCUAGUCUCAACAAAACCCGUCAAAUCCCGCAUUUGUGCCUGCAAGAGAGACAAGUCCCUCAGUAUUUCAAUAUUGUCUGGAUCUAUUU
rnacentral:misc_RNA from 1 species